rnacentral:lncRNA from 1 species
UAUUUCUUCUUCUUUUUUCAACUUGGACCAAUGGUCCAUUUAUUAAUAAAGGAGAAAAAUACAGGCUUGAUUAAGACAGCCCCAGACGAACAAAAAGGAAUUGCAAAUUCCAGACAAAGAAAAUAACAAAUCUAAAGAAAAGGGAAGUCUUUAGAGAAGGACCAAGAUCCUCACGCCUUUCAUCUUUAAAUUCGAUUCAGUGAAGCUCCAGUUUGCCUUACCUUUUUUGCCGGCUUCGAAGCAUGUAUCCACGAGCUUAGGCAAGAUUCACUUCGGCAGUACCAAGUCUCACUACUGCCAUGAAUUCGACUUCAUUAAAGACUUCUUCCGCCCCCAGCUUGGCUUCAAACCCAACAAAUCAGGUAUGCCCCUUCCCUUGUGACAAAGAAAUUACCUCAGAGAGUUGUGUUAACCUUUUCCAUAACUUGUGCAGGCUGAGCUCCACAUAAAUGAUACCACUGCCUCAAGUCGUGGUUUAGAUCAACUCAAUCCUUCAAGAUGUUAGACCGAGGUAACCCUCAAACAAUAUGCCUUGUUAUUUGUUUAGAGAUUCCAUGUGUUGCCCAUUCGAUCUUACAGUCCUUGAGUACUUAUUUUGCACAUUUGUCUUCAUCGUGAAUGCUUAAAUUGAUUGUUUUGUCCUUUCUUGAGUCUGAGAAUUGGUGCUCCUUGCUUGUCCAACUGUAGUAAAGUUUUUGCCUGAUUUGGUAGUUCAUUAGUAUGAUUAAACUGGAUAUCUUCACCUGCAAAAUCAACAAUAAAAUUAGUUAAGAAGUCUGCCGGUGAAUUCCCUUCUCGAAAUGUUUGACCCACUGCCACUUCUUUAUUGAGCAUAGCUUCCUUGAUCUCCCUUAUGUCUGCUGAAAUAAGCCAAGGAACUUCCCAAUUCUCAUCCAAGAUCUUCGUAAUGAUUAACGAAUUUGUUUCCAUUAUCAGAGGUAAAAUAUUAUGGCUUAAGCAAUAAAAUAAACCAUCUUUAAAUCCUUUAACUUUAGCCUUUAAUACUGAACAAAACUCCAACUUGCUAGCUUUAGCAUAAACCAAAUCUCCAUAACCAUCUCUUAUGCAAAAUGCCUUGGAACACAUGUCAUGGUUGACUUGACAAGAAGCAUCAGAGUUACAUUUGUAUCUUCUUCCCUCAGGGCACUUCCACCGUAUCACCUUGGUUCUUAUUAGAGGUGUAUAACUUUCCAGAAAUUGUACAAUCUCUGGCCAGGUGUUAGGCAUUUCUACCAACCAAGGGUACUUUGCUCUUGCCAUGAAGUAUACAUUUCUAUUGAUCUCCAACACCAUUGCAUGUCUAGUGAUACUUCCCCAUGUAAGACUAUAUUUCUCCUUUUCCACAAUUGCCAAAUGAUUAAAGAUGGCAUGGCUCUACACAGAGGUGUUAAUUUAGCUGCACGGUCCUUUGUCUGUCUCAUCUGACGGAAUGGACCUUGCAUGCCCAUUGCUGCUGCAAACAACUUCCAUAAAUAAUUAGCAUCAGGACAUGUUAUAAAUAGGUGGUUAAAAUAUUCAUGUUCCUGACUGUUACAACAACAACACUCAAUGGAAUCAACAAUCCUGCACCUAACUAGGACUUCUCCUAUUGGAAUCCUCUUAAACCAUAUCCACCACAUCAGAAAAGAUAUUUUGAAAAGUAGGCCUUUCUCCCAUAUAAAUAAUAUAUCUUUUUGAGGAUCCUUCCUGCUUCUGAUAAUAUCACAUGCACUCUUUACUGAAAAGUUUCUUUUACCGUUGGGCAUCCACCACUGCUUGUCCCUCUCCUCUACAUGUUGAGUAUGACCCAAUAUAGCUUUUACAUGAUCACAAAUAUCUUUAUCAAAAAGUUCAUUCAUCAGGUUUACAUUCCAUCUUCCAUCCAAUCUGAGCUGAUUAACUUCUUCCAGGUUCUCAGGAAUAACAUGAUCAAUAGGCAUAAUAUAGUGUAAAGCUCCAAAUUGUGUCCAAUUAUCAUACCAUAAGCUAGCAUGACCACAUCUAGGUUCCCACCAUAUUUCUUGAUCAAAACUAUCUCUGGCCAUUAACAUCAUCUUUCAAACUUGAGAUCCACCUUUCCAUUCCACCACUUAGGGUCUAUACCUCUUACAAUACUUAUUCCACAUAAACUGGGACCAUAGUGAAUUUUUUGUUCUAAAAUUCCACCAUAGUUUUGCAAAAACAGCUUUGGACACAUCAAAUAGAGAUUUGAACCCAAGACCCCCUUCCUCUUUAGGUAGACAAAUGCCAUCCAUGCUAUACAGUGCUUUGACUUGCCAUUUUCUUUGAAGUUCCAAAGAAACUUUGCAAACAUUCUAUGAAGGUCCUUAACUACACAUUUUGGUGGCACUAACACUGAUAAUAAGUAAAUAAGAAUACUUUGCAACACAUGAUUGAUCAGUACAACCUUACCACUAAAGGACAUGAACUUACUUUUCCAGACUUUCAACUUAUUUUGAACAGUUUUAAUCAGUUCAUUAAAAUGAGAUUACUUCAUCUUUGCAUGACUAAUAGGUCAUCCUAAAUAAAUUAUGGGGAAAUUACCUCUUACAAUAGUUUCCUCCACUGCCUGUAUAAGAGCAUUACCAGCUAUAUUAAACAUGUAGAAGUGGCUCUUAUCUUUAUUGAUCUUUUACCCUGAUUGGUUUUCAUACUCCUUCAAAGUAUACAUAAUAAGAUCAAUAGAUUUCUUCUCAGUAGCAGCAAAUAUGAUUGUAUCAUCUGCAUAAGCAAUAUGAUUUAACCUCUCACUCCACUUUGGCAUCCCAUAUCCUUUGAAUUCAGUAUUAUAAAACAAUUGGUUUAGUGCUCUGGUGAGCACUUCUAUAGUGAUUAUAAAUAAAGCAGGUGAUAGAGGAUCCCCUACUUCACCCCUCUAGAGGAAUGAAAAAAACCAUGUGUCUGGCCAUUAAUUAGAAUAGAGUACCAGUUGUUGGCUAUCAGUCUUCAAAUCAUAUCAACCACCACUGAGUUAAAGCCCAUAUGUUCAAGUACUUUCAGUAGGAAAUUCCAAUUCACCCUAUCAUAAGAUUUAGCCAUGUCUAGCUUCAUCACAACAUUGGCUGGCUUACCUCUUUUUUUGAUAUCUGUGAUAAUUUCUUGUGCUAAUAGUACAUUUUCUGAGAUGCUUCCACUCUUCACAAAUCCAGACUGAUUUACAGAAAUUAUUCUUGGUAAUAAGUCUUCAAGUCUAUCAUGUAAUGUUCUAGAGAUCACCUUAUUUAUGAAAUUACUUAGACUAAUUGGUCUUAAGUCUGAGAAGGUUUGAAUGAUCUCCUUCUUAGGCAAUAAAACCAAAUUAGUGUGAGUAAUAGAUUUAGGAAGGGUGUUUCCCUGGAAAAAUGAUUAAACAAUAUCCACAAUAUCUGCUCCAACUAUCUCCCAACAAGCCUGAAAGAAGUGUCAUGUAAAACCCUCUAGACCACAUAUAUGCUCCCCAUUAAGCUCAAAGACUAUUUUUUUAAUCUUAUUUUCCUCAGGUAUUGCCUGUAGGAGAUCAUUUUCUUAAAUAGUCACCAGAGGGCGAAUGUUCUGUAAGAGGGAAAAGUCACUUUACACGUUGGUUCCAGAAAAUUGUUUCUGAAAGAAACUUAUUGCUUUAACUGCCACUUCAUCCUCUCCUUGGGCCCACUGACCAUCAGUUUUCAGUAUUCUCUGAAUAUUCAAUCUUUUCCUCCUGCCUCUUACCAAGCCAUGAAAAUAUUUGAUGUUCCUAUCUCCCUCUAAAUGUCAUUGAAUACUUGCCUUCUGCCUUCAAAACUCCUCAUCAUAGUGUAAGUACACCUUAUAUUCAGCAUAAGCUUGCUGUAGAAUAGCUCUAUUAGAUGAUGCAAGAUUUUACUCAUAUAAAUCCUCCUUCAUCUUAGCUAUUUCUUCUCUGAUAUGUAGUUAUUUGAAGAUAUCACCAAAUUGUUCCCUACUCCAUUUGGAUAAGGACAUUUUUGUGCUUUUAGAUCUUAACUUCCAUUGUAGUAAAACAUCAUCAGAGUGAACUUCAUUCCAGCUAGCCUUCACCACAUCUUUAAAUUCUGCCUUGUCAAUCAAAAAUCUUAAAUACCUGAAUAGUUUUAUAAAAUUCUGGUUCUGACCUCCAUAUUUUAGUAGUAAUGGUGAUUAGUCAGAUCCAGUUCUAGCUAGGUGUUGCAGUUCCAAGUUGCCAAGUACAUCUUGUAGCUUCUGAUUGAUUAACACUUUAUCAUAUCUUUUAAAUAUACAUUCUCCAUCAGAUCUUUCAUUCCACUAAUUAAAUGGGCUGCCAGAGAAAUUUAUAUCAAACAGGCCACAAGAAUUGAUACAAAAAGCAAAGUCCUCAUAUCUUUGGAUAUAAACAUGAAGACCUCUUAUCUUUUCAUCUUCCCUCAGAAUUACAUUGUAGUCUCCCCCUACCAUCGAGUAUUGAUCAUUAAUGUAAUACAAGUCAUUCCAAAGUUCUAUCAUCUCCUAUGCUGAACAUUUGGCAUAUAUCAUAGUAGUAAGCAAUUGUUGUCCAUCUUCCAAUGUGAGCUGAAGAGCGAUUUGCUGAUCAUUAUCUGAGAUCACCCCUACCUGAAUAUGAUCUCUUAUAAAUACCCAUAUCUUUCCAUUUGAGUUGUAGUUCACAUAAUUCAUCCCUAAUCUCCUCUUAAAAUUUUGUAUUUUCCUAGUACCUUGAAAUGGUUCUGGCAAAGCAAUUAAGAAUAAUUUAUGAUGUAUGUGUAGCAUUUGAACUCUGUGGAAUGUAUUUUGAGUUCGCAUAGACCUUAUGUUCCAAAUGAGUGCUUUCAUUAUCAUCUAAUUGAUGGCUUUACCACUAUCUUGGCAUGUAUUCUUGUUGGUUGAACUUCAACCUCCUUUUUAUUUUUACCUUUUUUGUCUUUCGAUAAAACUAAAGGAGAGAGUCCAGCCUCUUUACAUACCACCACUACAUUUUGAUCACUAUUCACUUCAUUAUUAUCUUCUAUGAACUCAUUGGUAUCUUUGCUCUACACCAUCAUAUCCUCUUGACUUUGAUGUGAUACUAGUAUGUGUAGUUUCUCCAUAGGGGCUGAUUUGGCACUAUAAAUCAUUAUUGUUGACCUAUUACUUCUCUGCUGCUGGUAUAUCUGGAUCUAGUAUUGCUUCACAAGAAAGUCUUUCUCCAACAAAUGGAACUGCAAUUUGAAGGGAAGUUUGGUAAUCAGCCUCAACUAGUUUUUCCAUUAGUAACCUGUCUUACUCUUCUUUAUAUGUGGCCUUCACUACUGCAACAACCCCUGAUUCUUUUAUAUUUAUCUGAUGAAGAUUGAUCUCCUCUGAAAUUUUCUUUGCAGGACCAAUCAUCAAUUAUUUUUCUCCUUCUCCAAUCCUUAUAUCUAUCAUUCCUUGUGACUGUUGAUCAUUAUGCCCCAAAUGUUCGUCCAUUAAUUCCCCAUUAUGUUUUUUUCUGCAUUAUUGGUAUUGUCCUGCUCUGUGGUGCUGUUAAAGCUACUAGUGUCACCCCCUCCCUUUCCUGGAUAAUUGGCAAAAACAUUAGUUAUCCACUCUUUUAUGGAUGAGUGAUGAUGACCUUUAUUAGCUUCCCUCUGACUCUUGACUUCACUAGUUUUAUCAUUAAUAUCAUUUCCCCCAGUAGAUUCCUCCGGUGGCCUCUCUUAUUUCUUCUCAGCUAGUGCAGCAAAAGCAUUAUCAGUAUUAAUGUUUUUGUCUGACUUUCUUUGUACUCCAGCUUCUUGUUCAACCUCCCUGUCUCUUGACUCUUGUAUGUUAAUGGGUUUCCAAUAUCUCCGAAUAACUUUUCUCCUUCUUGUUGCAAAUUCAUUGCCCUGCUCUUCAUUGUUGUUACCUUUUGGCCCUUGUUCUGUCUCCUUUUUAGUGUAUUCCUUAAUCUGCCUCAGUUCGGGAUGUGAGUUUCUACAUGU